rnacentral:rRNA from 1 species
GAUGAACGCUGGCGGCGUGCCUAAUACAUGCAAGUCGAGCGAACGGACGAGAAGCUUGCUUUUCUGAUGUUAGCGGCGGACGGGUGAGUAACACGUGGAUAACCUACCUAUAAGACUGGGAUAACUUCGGGAAACCGGAGCUAAUACCGGAUAAUAUUUUGAACCGCAUGGUUCAAAAGUGAAAGACGGUCUUGCUGUCACUUAUAGAUGGAUCCGCGCUGCAUUAGCUAGUUGGUAAGGUAACGGCUUACCAAGGCAACGAUGCAUAGCCGACCUGAGAGGGUGAUCGGCCACACUGGAACUGGGACACGGUCCAGACUCCUACGGGAGGCAGCAGUAGGGAAUCUUCCGCAAUGGGCGAAAGCCUGACGGAGCAACGCCGCGUGAGUGAUGAAGGUCUUCGGAUCGUAAAACUCUGCUAUUAGGGAAGAACAUAUGUGUAAGUAACUGUGCACAUCUUGACGGUACCUAAUCGGAAAGCCACGGCUAACUACGUG